rnacentral:sRNA from 1 species
UUUGUUCUCAGAGCAUGACCUGCAAAGACAAGCACACGUGGGAAUAUGUCCCUGACCUGGGCCAGGUGGAGUGGGAGGGAGAUGUUUUGAAGUGAGAACCUUCAGAAUGUGCACUCGGUGUGGAGCAAGGGAGAGGAAGGCAUGAAGGAGGGAUGUGUUACUGGAUAGGAGGAUGGACAGAUGCCCUCAGAAGUACUGCUGGCUCUGUAAAGCCUGCCAGGCCUGGUGCUUGGAGUCCCUUCCUCCAGGGAGAGCCCUUUGCUGAUUCCAUACCAACAGUCCCCACCCCGUGAAGCCCCUCAGUGCCGCCCCUGUGGAGGGCAGCCCCGACAGGAAGCAGUCCCGCUCCAGUCUGAGCAUAGCCCUGAGCAGUGGGCUGGAGAAGCUCAAAACAGUCACAUCUGGGAGCAUUCAGCCUGUGACCCAGGCCCCCCAGGCUGGCCAGAUGGUGGACACCAAAAGGCUGAAGGACUCAGCUGUGCUGGACCAGUCAGCCAAGUACUACCACCUGACCCAUGAUGAGCUCAUCAGUCUGCUCCUGCAGCGGGAGCGGGAGCUGAGCCAGCGGGACGAGCAUGUGCAGGAGCUGGAGAGCUACAUCGACCGGCUGCUGGUGCGGAUCAUGGAGACCUCACCCACGCUGCUGCAGAUCCCCCCGGGCCCCCCCAAAUAGCCUUCCUCACCCCACCCCCAGGAGAGUUGGCAUGGACCUACCGCUGCCCGCCCUCCCUCCUGCUGAACUCUCUCAUCUGCAGUGGGGCAUCGUCUGUCUUGCCUUGUCACUCCUUGCUCCUCUCCCUCCUGCCUCAACUGGGGCUGCUGGAAGGGGGGGCCCUCUGGAUUCCCUUUGGAGGCAUCAGGUUCUGUGCACAACUUGUGUGUCUUUGGGAGCCCUGGGUCUUUCCUACCUGCCUGUUUUCAUACCCCUCAGCUUUGGGGGCCCCAGGGAAUUGGAACUCUUCCCCCAAGACAGAGCAGGGGUGAACUGUAGCUUGAUGUGGUAAUCUGGGACAAGACUGGUUGCUAGCACAUACUUUAUUACCCACCAAGGAUGGUCAGCCAUUUCUUCCCGCAGCCAAAGCCCCAUCCCCUUCAUUUCCCUCCAGUCCCUGGAGGGGCUUCUAGUAUUACUGGGACAACGACCACGCUGCCUGUUUGUCUGUGAGUUAUGGGCAAACAGCCUCCAGCCUCACACCCAUUCCCCUGAGAACAAGAAGCCUGUGUGGUCUGGGCCAGUCUCUGCCAUGUCCUGAGUCUGCUUCAGUCUGGAGCUGUUUGUGGGGCGAGUGCCGUGUGGACAGAGGUGGAUGAUGUGUGUGCUUCAGGCUGCUCCCUGCCCCCUCUGACCUUUGCACGAGUGUCACAUGGGAAUGUGUGGGGUGCAGGGGUGGGUGCGGGGAGAACACCUUUUUGCUUUUUGAGCUCUUGACCACCUCCAAUGUGUAGGUCCCUCCAGGCUGGGGCUUGGGACUGCUUAUAUUUUGGGGAUCAAGCCUCCAUGUCUAUUCUUGUUGCCUGUCCAGAUGCCAAAACUCUGUGUUGCUGCAGGGUUUGAACUUUUGGAAACCAAUUAAAAUGUGCCUUUUGUGGGCGGGGUCAAGAGCCCCUGGAUGUCGACCUCUCACGCUGUGUGGCGUCCCCCUCCCACCUGUUGAGUACAUAGGGAUGGCUCUCUCAGGGCCCUGGGAAUGGAAAUGGGCAGCCCUGCUGUGGGCUCUUCCCCUCCCCUAGAGUUAAUCUCUUGGUCUGGCCAAGUUGCUCCUCCCUCAACCUUACUGCUGUCUUCCCCUCCCUCAACCCCAAUAGGAGGAUCCCAAGAUAAACACUGCUGGGCAGGCGGGCAGGCAGGCCUGGGGCUGCCCUGCUCACUCUCAUUCUAUGUCUGGCCUUAGGACUUAGCCAUACUAGACCAGUCAGCUUGCCUGGAAGUGGGAGGUCCCACUAUGCCUUUGGGAGACAUCUAUACUUAGGAAAAAGCCUUUGUUGUCCUCCCAUCCAUCCACCAAGCUGCUAACUCAGCCUGUCCCUUCUGCCCCAGGGGCUUGCCUAGCUUGGCUGCAGUGCACUUUGAAAUGAAGUGUCUGUCCUUUGGCCCAGCCCCUGGUUUGCUUGUAGAAAACAUGGUAGGCUUCCCCAAGGCAUCGGCAGGGAACUUUGGCAGCUUGGGGCACCCUGAAUUAGCAAAAAUGGGGGGUGAUGAGGUGCUGAAGAAGGAUACUUAUGGCUUAGUGAGGAGGCAAGAGCUCCUCUGGGACCACCACUUCUUCAGGAGAGGGCCUGUGGGCUUGCUUUUGGAAGGCCUCAGGCAGACACGUGCCCUCUGGGUGAUGUCUGUCUGCCACCAGGAUGGAGCAGAGGAGUGCCACACAUGGAGGAAAGCCACUGUAACGUUACCUACCUUAAACUCCACUCAUCAAAGCAGAGAAAAGUAUCCACUGGUCCCCAGGGUUUCAGUCAUGCUUUUGGGGGUCACUGACUAUUAGAGAAGUAAGUAUCUUUUCUGAGAGAGGGGGAGUUACCCCCUCCCCCCGCAGUGGGGAUUCCUCUGGGCUUUAUUCAGUCCCAGUCCUGGCCCUGACCUUUGUGGGCCUCCCUAAUGCCUAGGGCAUGGAUGGCUUCAGAGGAGUUUUUGAAUCGAAGCCCAGGGUCCUUGUUGAUGUUUCUUCUCCUAGCCACACUUGGAGGAGAGCUGCAGGUGGAUUGGGCAGGGAGCAGGCAUGGUUCUGCUUUGCUGUUUGUCUUCCUAGUUAAGGCUCUUUAUAAAGAGCUUGUUCUUCAUGUUUUAAGCACUUUAUGAAGAAUAAAACAUUCAUGUACUG